GGCCCGUUAGCUCAGUUGGUUAGAGCGCUAAUAACGCGAAGGUCGUGGGUUCGAUCCCCCCACGGGCCA
rnacentral:tRNA from 1 species